CGUGAUCUGAGUUCAGACCGGAGCAAUCCAGGUCAGUUUCUAUCUAUACAAGAGCUUAUUCUAGUACGAAAGGACCGAAAAAGCAUGGCCAAUACUUACUGCAAGCCAUCAUUAAUAAUUUGUGAUAAACACUCAACUAAGAAUUAAUCUAUCAAUCUCCCCAAGAUAAGGGA
rnacentral:rRNA from 1 species